ensembl:lncRNA
ACUGAAACCACUCCUUCUGCCACACGUCCACAUCCUGCUGUUCAGGAUCUGCUGUGUGUUUGUGCUGGGAGCUCAGCUGUGCUUUAGACCUGUAUGCUUUAUUUUUAUAUCAUAGCAACACUAAAAUGAUAUUCUCUCUUAUUCUUCUACUUAUUUGUGUCGCAGCAUCACAAGAUGCUUCAGGAAAUAUAUCAGAGACACAGCCGCCCAGCGGUUUAACAGUCCAGCCCACUGGCACCACAGACCCUGGAGAUGCUUCUGAGUCACAGACUACAACACAGCUAAUAACAAUCCAACAAACAACACAAAUGGAUGUCACAAACAACACUGAGACAACCACUUCACAAUCUACCUGGCUGCCCCAGACAUCUGAACUGACAGCGUCCGAACUGAAAUUCACCUCUGUCGACUCUAGUGAAACAUUUCCAGCAGAAGAAAACAACAAAGCCUAUGGCACAGAUCUGGGAGACAGAGGAGGACAAGAUGUGGCAACAAAUCCAGGGCUGGUUGCAGUAGUGUGUAUUUUCAGCAUUGUGGUGGCUGUAGUUGUUGUGGUUGUGAUAGUGAAGACUGUUCGCUCCAGGAGGCCACAGUUUGAGAGGCUUGAUGAUGUACCAAUGGGCAAGGUGAAUGAGGGUGCACCGUUUGCCCGCUACCCUCCGAAAUAAAUUCCAGUUUCUUAAACCUGCAGUCUCAGUAAACUACAUAGCUAUGCCUCUUUUUAACCCCUUAACUGUCACCGGGGGGAUGCUUGGCACUCUUUUUUUUGUUGUCCUUUUUCUCUAUAAAAUCUUAGAAAUCAUCAUAAAUUAUAUAUCAUUUGAAAGCUUAGAAGCACAAUAUUCAUCCUGUGAAAACCAUUUUGAAAUCGGUCAUUGUGUUACUAUGGAAAUGGUACUUUAAAAUAUUAUGGCGGUCUCCUCCCCCUUAGUGGGCAGUGUCAAGUGUUAUAUUAUAAAAUGCAUUACCGUCUUUUAGAAUCAAAACUUUUUAUAAUCUUGGCAACAAACAUAUCAUUGGAAAGGUCUGAGUCUCAGGAUUCCAUAUUUGGUGUUUCUUUUGAGAUAAAAUUGACAGAGAUAUCUAGAGAAAAAUUCAUUAAACAAAAUUCACAGGAGUUUUGAUGGCUCCCAGUGGCUGUUUGUGGUACGACGCCCUAAAUAAAAUCUCACAAGAACCUACA